AUGAACGCUAGCUACAGGCUUAACACAUGCAAGUCGAGGGGCAGCAUGAACUUAGCUUGCUAAGUUUGAUGGCGACCGGCGCACGGGUGAGUAACACGUAUCCAACCUGCCGAUGACUCGGGGAUAGCCUUUCGAAAGAAAGAUUAAUACCCGAUGGCAUAGUUCUUCCGCAUGGUAGAACUAUUAAAGAAUUUCGGUCAUCGAUGGGGAUGCGUUCCAUUAGGUUGUUGGCGGGGUAACGGCCCACCAAGCCUUCGAUGGAUAGGGGUUCUGAGAGGAAGGUCCCCCACAUUGGAACUGAGACACGGUCCAAACUCCUACGGGAGGCAGCAGUGAGGAAUAUUGGUCAAUGGACGAGAGUCUGAACCAGCCAAGUAGCGUGAAGGAUGACUGCCCUAUGGGUUGUAAACUUCUUUUAUACGGGAAUAAAGUGAGGCACGUGUGCCUUUUUGUAUGUACCGUAUGAAUAGGGAUCGGCUAACUCCGUGCCAGCAGCCGCGGUAAUACGGAGGAUCCGAGCGUUAUCCGGAUUUAUUGGGUUUAAAGGGAGCGUAGGCGGACGCUUAAGUCAGUUGUGAAAGUUUGCGGCUCAACCGUAAAAUUGCAGUUGAUACUGGGUGUCUUGAGUACAGUAGAGGCAGGCGGAAUUCGUGGUGUAGCGGUGAAAUGCUUAGAUAUCACGAAGAACUCCGAUUGCGAAGGCAGCUUGCUGGACUGUAACUGACGCUGAUGCUCGAAAGUGUGGGUAUCAAACAGGAUUAGAUACCCUGGUAGUCCACACAGUAAACGAUGAAUACUCGCUGUUUGCGAUAUACAGUAAGCGGCCAAGCGAAAGCGUUAAGUAUUCCACCUGGGGAGUACGCCGGCAACGGUGAAACUCAAAGGAAUUGACGGGGGCCCGCACAAGCAGUGGAGUAUGUGGUUUAAUUCGACGCAACGCGAAGAACCUUACCAAGACUUGACAUAUACAGGAAUAUCUGGGAAAUCAGAUAGUUCUUCGGAACUUGUAUACAGGUGAUGCAUGGUUGUCGUCAGCUCGUGCCGUGAGGUGUCGGCUUAAGUGCCAUAACGAGCGCAACCCUUAUCGAUAGUUACCAUCAGGUUAUGCUGGGGACUCUGUCGAGACUGCCGUCGUAAGAUGUGAGGAAGGUGGGGAUGACGUCAAAUCAGCACGGCCCUUACGUCCGGGGCUACACACGUGUUACAAUGGGGGGUACAGAAGGCAGCUACACGGCGACGUGAUGCUAAUCCCGAAAGCCUCUCUCAGUUCGGAUUGGAGUCUGCAACCCGACUCCAUGAAGCUGGAUUCGCUAGUAAUCGCGCAUCAGCCACGGCGCGGUGAAUACGUUCCCGGGCCUUGUACACACCGCCCGUCACACCAUGAGAGCCGGGGGGACCCGAAGUCGGUAGUCUAACCGCAAGGAGGACGCCGCCGAAGGUAAAACUGGUGAUUGGGGUG
rnacentral:rRNA from 1 species